rnacentral:lncRNA from 1 species
AUGCAUCUUCUCCUAGCAGCCUGCAAAAGGCCCACGGAGGAGGAAGAGGAGGAGGAGGAGGGCAGCCAGCGGGGCGAAGGUGUGAACGGCAAGGCAAGGCGAGGACGAGGAGCCGGGAAGAUCCGGCAAAGCCGCGGGAGGCCGCUUCCUUCCCGCUCCUUGCACGGUCUGCGGGUAGCAGGAGCCUCCGCGGCCGCAGGGAGCCGGGAGCGACACCCUGGGUCGACCCUAAAACGGUGCCUGAUGCUUCCCCCAUCACCCACUGGGUCUUCCCGGGGAAACGCGUCCUCCCAGCACCCUUUUCCAGCAGCAGCGUUGCAGGCUGCAAAGUCCUGCAAGCUCUGGAUUGAUCCGAAUUCCCCACUGCCCAAGACAGGAUGCUCCGGGCGAGCUUUGAGCAGCCCCCAAAAUGCCCAGGCAGGUGCGAGCGCGGAGGGCAGGGACGGUCCUGCAGCGCGGCCCCGGUCCGCUCGAGCUCGUUGCGAGCGCCAUCCGGGCGCAGYGCGAUGCAGCAAAGCUUCCCGGGUGCGGAGCAAUUCGGACCACGUUUCCAGCCCCCCUCCGACACCCACCAGCGCUAAUUUGGCCUCCGCUCGGUUUCCUAGGGAGACGAGGCUGCAGCUCGCGCGCAGCCUCCGCACGCGGGGGUGUGCGGGGGGCCGGGGGUGUGCAUGGGGAGGGGGUGCGGGGAAGAUGGGGGUGUGCGGGGAGACGGAAGUGUGCAUGGAGACAGGGGUGUGCAUGGAGACAGGGAUGUGCAUGGAGACAAGGGUGUGCAUGGAGAUGUGGGUGUGCAUGGGAAGGGGGGUGUGCAUGGGGGCCCUGCUCCAGCUGGACCCCGCUCGCUCCGACGUGCCUGCCUGGUGCCAGCAUGGGCUCCCACAGGAAGCACUCGCACCCCAGCUCUCCGGCGGCCCCCGACGCACCCCCCCAAACCCUUUCCACGCUCCGUUGCCCCUCAAGCAGACGAGAAACGCGGUCGCUGUUGUUUCAGCGAUCUCCUCUCGCCCGGAAGGGCGCAAAGCCUCCGCUCGGAGGCGGCGCAGGUGGGGACGGACCACGCCGGCAAACCCGGGCGCCAAGAGGACAGGGUGCGCGUGCUGUGGCGAGGAUGGCGCAGGACCCCUCGGCCCCUCCGCUGGGGCACCCGACUGGCUCGGCGUGGCCUGGUUCUCCGCUCUCCUGCUGCCUUCCCCAGCCCCUCCGUGCACGUGUCCCCGCCAGCCCUUCCUGCCCUCCCGCUCCUGCGACAACAGGUUGCUCCGGCACAGCUGA